UACGUAGGGGGCGAGCGUUGUCCGGAAUUAUUGGGCGUAAAGGGUUCGUAGGCGGUAAUACAUGUCAGAUGUGAAAUCUUGUGGCAUAACCACAUCAAGCAUCUGAAACUGUAUAACUUGAGUGGAGGAGAGGUAAGUGGAAUUCCUAGUGUAGCGGUGAAAUGCGUAGAUAUUAGGAAGAAUACCAGUAGCGAAGGCGACUUACUGGCCUCUAACUGACGCUGAUGAACGAAAGCGUGGGUAGCAAACAGGAUUAGAUACCCU
rnacentral:rRNA from 1 species